rnacentral:rRNA from 1 species
GGAUACGGUCAUACCAGCACUAAAGCACCGGAUCCCAUCAGAACUCCGAACUUAAGCGUGCUUGGGCGAGGAUGGGUGACCUCCUGGGAAGUCCUCGUGUUGUAUUUU